AACCUGCCCAAGAGAUCGGGAUAACACCUGGAAACAGAUGCUAAUACCGGAUAACAANAGAUGAUGCCUAUCAACUGUUUAAAAGAUGGUUCUGCUAUCACUCUUGGAUGGACCUGCGGUGCAUUAGCUAGUUGGUAGGGUAACGGCCUACCAAGGCGAUGAUGCAUAGCCGAGUUGAGAGACUGAUCGGCCACAUUGGGACUGAGACACGGCCCAAACUCCUACGGGAGGCAGCAGCG
rnacentral:rRNA from 1 species